rnacentral:rRNA from 1 species
CGGGUUUUUCAAAACAUGGUCUUUUGUUUAUAUAAAAGAUCUGGCCUGCCCUAUGAUAUAUAUUAAAUGGCUGCAGUAUUUUGACUGUACAAAGGUAGCAUAAUCAUUUGUCUUUUAAUUGAAGGCUGGAAUGAAUGGUUGGAUGAAAAAUAUACUUUCUUUAUUUUAUAAAAAAAACUUGAUUUUUCAGUUAAAAAGCUGGAAUUUUUUUAUAGGACGAGAAGACCCUAUAGAACUUUACUAUUUAAAUUAAAUAAUUUUUUUAUUUUAUUAAAAGAUUUUUUAUUGGGAAUAAGUUUUGUUGGGGUGAUAAAAAAAAUAUUAUAACUUUUUUUAUUUAUUUCAUUUAUUUAUGUUUUUUUGAUCCUUUAUUAUGGAAAAUAAGAUUAAGUUACCUUAGGGAUAACAGCGUUAUUUUUUUGGAGAGUUCAUAUCGAUAAAAAAGUUUGCGACCUCGAUGUUGGAUUAAAAUUAAUUAUAGGGGCAUAAUAUUAUAAAUUAGGUCUGUUCGACCUUUAAAUUUUUACAUGAUCUAUU